GCCACUUUAGCUCAGCCGGUAGAGCAACGCAUUCGUAACGCGUAGGUCGUGGGUUCGAAUCCCAUGAGUGGCU
rnacentral:tRNA from 1 species